UACAGAGGGUGCGAGCGUUGUUCGGAAUUAUUGGGCGUAAAGGGCGCGUAGGCGGUGCGGUAAGUCACCUGUGAAAUCUCCUGGCUCAACUGGGAGCUUGCAGGCGAAACUGCCGUGCUGGAGUGUGGGAGAGGUGCGUGGAAUUCCUGGUGUAGCGGUGAAAUGCGUAGAUAUCAGGAGGAACACCUGUGGCGAAAGCGGCGCACUGGACCACAACUGACGCUGAGGCGCGUAAGCUAGGGGAGCAAGCAGG
rnacentral:rRNA from 1 species